AUCAUUACAAGCGUUAGACGCAUGGCCAUGGUCGCCAUGGACACAAGCAUGAAAGUGGAUCGAGCAGCAGUUCUGACUCGGAUUAAGAAAGCGCCUCCCACUGGCCUGGCUCACAUCGGUGGCACAUCAGCAGCAGAAGCCAAAUACAGUUUAAUAACGUCUGUUAGUUCGCUCCAGUUCGCUUUUCCGCUGCCCUUUGCUCCUUCUUCUAAAUGAACGUCGUGUAACCUUGUGACUA